GACGUAGGGCGCGAGCGUUGUCCGGAUUUAUUGGGCGUAAAGAGCUCGUAGGCGGCUUGUCGCGUCGUCCGUGAAAACUCGGGGCUCAACCCCGAGCUUGCGGUCGAUACGGGCAGGCUAGAGUUCGGUAGGGGAGACUGGAAUUCCUGGUGUAGCGGUGAAAUGCGCAGAUAUCAGGAGGAACACCGGUGGCGAAGGCGGGUCUCUGGGCCGAUACUGACACUGAGGAGCGAAAGCGUGGGGAGCGAACAGG
rnacentral:rRNA from 1 species